rnacentral:rRNA from 1 species
UACGUAGGGUGCGAGGGUUGUCCGGAAUUAUUGGGCGUAAAGGGCUCGUGGGCGGUUUGUCGCGUCGGGAGUGAAAACACACAGCUUAACUGUGUGCUUGCUUCCGAUACGGGCAGACUAGAGGUAUGCAGGGGAGAACGGAAUUCCUGGUGUAGCGGUGAAAUGCGCAGAUAUCAGGAGGAACACCGGUGGCGAAGGCGGUUCUCUGGGCAUUACCUGACGCUGAGGCGCGAAAGCUAGGGGAGCAAACAGG